GUCACGCCAUUUUCCCGCCUUCAUCCUGUGUUUUCCAGGUCAUUUUUCAUUUGGGUACUGACGUGUUGUGUAGCAUAGAAAGUCGAUUUAGCUUUUCUCCCAUGUCCUUACAUACAACUUCGACGAGGCACCACCGGUUGACGAUCUUUGUCAACAAGUAGCACAAUAAAGAGACUCCGAGAAACAUUGAAUGGGCAGAUGUUAAGGCGAAGAAGAACAAGCGACCCAAGGAGGCAUGGCUGAAGUGGGAGUCGCCAAUUGAGCCGAGACUCAACAGAAAACGUGAGGAAGCUUCUCUCGUCUUGUCUUUCUGUCCCUUUUUUUUCAGGCCUCCGCUAUUGCCGUCGUCCAUCUUCUUCGCACGCCAGCAGAGCUGCGACGCGCGGAGUUGGCGUCUUCUUCUACGGCGUGUACGAGUCA